CUCUGUAGUCUAAGAGCACAGCCAAGAGGCUUCCACUUGAGAAGACAUAUUUUUUCUGGGGAAACAGGAGAGCUGCACAUUGCCACAGCAAGACCAGCUUGUACAGCUGUGUAACAUGCCCACAGUUCACUCUCUCUCUGUCUUCACCUGCUCUGGUGCUGGAAUUGCUCCCUCACAGUUACCACCCCUGCUGGCUGCACAGAUUGAAACACAUCAGGAAAUCAGUGCACACAGAACUGUGACAGUCCAUGCUCCAAUGUUAUUUCCUACGGUAGAGACUCUGAUAUCAGAGGAGUUAUUACUCUGAAUUGUUUGUUUGAAAAGAAAAAUCAAAUGGAAGAUUGCUCCACUGCAUGAACCAAAGCAUGCUAACUGAAGAGGAUCAGGAAAUGUACUUUGGAAGUGCAUGCCUAACCUGAUGUACAAUGCUAAUGUAGCUGCACCCUAAGUCAUCACACUCUCACUGCUUCUAAAUGAACAUCUGAAGGCUGAGCUGAACAAGAUUUGUUUUGAUCUACACUCUCCAGAGAAAACCUCAACGUCACAUGCCAUCAUCCCUCAAAUUACGAAAUUCUGCCCUCAUCUUGUAAUAAGAAGACGGGUUUCCAGAUAUCAGAAAGUAUUUGCUCUUUAUCUACUUGCUUCUGCCAUGUCAACCUUGCCAAGUUCAGAGAAAUUUCAGAGAGGUGCAAUCAGGAGCCUUAAGAAAAAGACACUCCAUGUGGAUCUGUGUCAAGAGAAAGCCACGUGUCCUGGGUAUCAGGAUUACCUCAGGGCAGUAUCAGAGGGUUGCUAACCUUGCAACAAUUGCUGGCUUUGAAAGGACUGUUGCCUCAAUAAAUCUGAAUGAACAAAGGCAGUGUUCUUGAAAAUGAAGAAUGACAACUACGCCUUGAAGUCACGCAACAGAUGGAGCAAUAACAGAGAGCUUGAAGGCAUCCUCUGGUGGAAACACCCUAUGCAAGCUUGCAUCUCAUCUGGACUUCUGCAUUCUACGUCCCAUGGUCACUAUACAGGAAAAUGUGGAAGAGUGGGCAGUGCUCUGGGUAUCCAAUUCCAAAUCUCACAGAUAACACUGCAAGGGAUAUAUCUUUAACUUUCUCUCCACCACAACCAGCAUCACCAGCUCCUUGUAUCAGCACACUUGAUAAAACCCAAAUAAUUGUAAUACUUUUUUAAGGUGUCUUGAGGGUGGAAAGCAUGUGGCUUCUGAUGGAAUAACAGCAAUAGCUCUGAGCUGUGGAAAAGUAACAUACACUGCUGAGCUGUUCAGAAAACCAUAGUUCUUUGUGCUAUUCCAGCAGCACAGAGUUUGCACAGGCACUAUAUGAGUGAACUGGUUGCCAGUAAUCAUGAUAUGCCUUGUCUGCACUCAAAAGCCUCACCCAGUAACUAUCCCUGGGGUCAACUGAACAAGCCAGAGUUUUUGACUCAUUUUUAAUUCACUGCAGGCAACAAAAAAUAAGGGAUCCCAAUCUUUGCUCCCUCUCUGCUCCUUUGCAGGUGUCUCUUCCCAUUCUGCAUUGCCCUGCAACAGGUAUUCACAGGAGACUUCACAGAGGACACAGACUCUUAGGUCACUAUGCUGGGAAGGGCACUGAGGUAACUCAUCACUACUAGGUGGAUCAUAAUUUUCAGAACUUAACUUCACCCACCUGUCUCAUUAGACAGUCAAGAAAGAAAUAGCUCUGUCCCAGUUUUCCCACACUGUUUGUGAGAACCUGUCAGGGUUCAUGGAGACCACAGGCAACAGGACAGUGCCCUGUGUUUGACAGGCUUGCUUUCCUCAAUUCUGCAUAUUCCUUUGAUGAAGGGGGGCCUCACCACCAAUUGGUACCGUCUUCUGAUUUGCCCCUGUUGUGCCAAGGUGCAAUGAAUAUCAGGCAACAUUAUCAAUCAAUGGAAAAAAAGAUUCAUUAUGCACCAACAAACUGAAAAGUGACAACAAACUUUUGAAGCAGUGAUUAUGUAACUGAAGAAGAGAUACCAUUUUAUUUCACAACUGAAAGCAUGAAAUGGUCUAUUUCGAACAGAGUAAACACAGGAAAUGCAUGAAUUAUUUUGAACCUACAAAAUCAGAAACACUACCCUAAAAAGAAAUAACUUUGCAGAAAAUACCAUUAUGGCAGGAUGUUCUGCCUAUAUGAAAGGGUAUUAUUCAACUGCUUAAUAGAGCAACAGCAAAGAUUAUGAAGUAAUCAUUGUGAACAAUAAGACAAGAAUUUGUAGUUUAUGUAAUUAUACAGAUAGAGAAAUGCCUGCUCUUGUUUUUUGUGAGCUAGAUCUUGAUUGUGUGUAAUCAGUCCUUGAGGACAAAUGAUGAAGUUUAUGCAAAAAAGGGUUAAUUAAAACAGAAAUAGAAGGGACAACUGUCCAUGUAUUCAAAGGUAUCAAAUCUAAGGGUAUGUUAUGUAAUUACUAAGCAAAAGAAGGAGGUAGAUUUCAACAUUUUCAUAUGGAAAAUUAACAAAUAAAGAGAAAAAGUGAAGCAUGAAAUGAGCUCACACAAAAGGAUAUGGCUACAACUACUGUUGAUAUGUGGACACAUGCUAAUGAAAUUUACUGCUAUAGUAAAGAAAUAUCAACAACACAAAUAAGUAAUGAUUACCAAUUAGAAUUGAUACUAAAAGAGCCUAUAGCCUUGAUUAAUUGAAAUGAGAAGAAAUUUAAUUUAUACAGAAAUGUAUAGUUUUUUGCUUGAGAAAAAAAUAACACUAUGUGCUUGUAGUUUGACAUGACAGACAGCAAACGAAAAUAUAUUCAUCAAAGACACACUUUUUUUGAACUGCUGACAUGAGGUAGUUGUGAGAAAAACAAAUAAUCCUAAAUUGCCAUUAAGAGAUCUGUUUACAGAAGAGGUGUGAAAAUAUUUUUGCUGUGUAAGAUCUCAGUAAAACUUCAUCUGGAACAUUGUAUAAAAUUAUUAACUGAAUCUGAAAAAGAUGCAGAGAUGAGCUCCUGGAAUGAUUAAUAAAGAUAUUCUCUGCACAAGAGAAAGCUUACAGAACAUGGCUAUUCUAGUCCAAUACAAAGAAAGCUGAAAUGGAGUAAGAUUGUUCUCUACAAAUGUAUCUCUGUGGGAAUGGAUUAUUGGAUAAAAGGCAAGUGCUGGCAAAGAAACAAAGGUGUAAGUUGGCAAAUGAAUGUAGGCUGAAAAUUAAAGAACAAUUACAAGAAGGUUAGAAGAAGCAAAGUACAACUGUGUUAAAAAUGGAACAGAAUCAUUUUACAAAGGAACGCCUGGGACUCAGUGCCUGUGACAGCUGGGCACCAGAACCAUGAGCCCACUAGGCUCCCUUUAGUCCUGUGUUUCUAGCUGGGUUACCUGUCUUACAACGUA